CCCUUAGAUGUUCUGGGCCGCACGCGCGCUACACUGACGAUGGCAACGAGUUUUUCCUUCGCCGAAAGGUGUGGGUAAUCUUUUGAAACAUCGUCGUGCUGGGGAUAGAUCAUUGCAAUUUUUGAUCUUGAACGAGGAAUUCCUAGUAAGCGCGAGUCAUCAGCUCGCGUUGAUUACGUCCCUGCCCUUUGUACACACCGCCCGUCGCUACUACCGAUUGAAUGGUUUAGUGAGGACUCCUGAUUGGAGCCGCCGCCCCGGCAACGGAGCAGCGGACUGCCGAAAAGUUGUUCAAACUUGAUCAUUUAGAGGAAGUAAAAGUCGUAACA
rnacentral:rRNA from 1 species